rnacentral:rRNA from 1 species
GGAAUUUUCCGCAAUGGGCGAAAGCCUGACGGAGCAACGCCGCGUGAGGGACGAAGGCCUCUGGGCUGUAAACCUCUUUUAUCAAGGAAGAAGAUCUGACGGUACUUGAUGAAUAAGCCACGGCUAAUUCCGUGCCAGCAGCCGCGGUAAUACGGGAGUGGCAAGCGUUAUCCGGAAUUAUUGGGCGUAAAGCGUCCGCAGGCGGUCUUGUAAGUCUGUCGUUAAAGCGUGGAGCUUAACUCCAUUUAAGCGAUGGAAACUGCAAGACUAGAGUGUGGUAGGGGCAGAGGGAAUUCCCGGUGUAGCGGUGAAAUGCGUAGAUAUCGGGAAGAACACCAGUGGCGAAGGCGCUCUGCUGGGCCAUAACUGACGCUCAUGGACGAAAGCCAGGGGAGCGAAAGGGAUUAGAUACCCCUGUAGUCCUGGCCGUAAACGAUGAACACUAGGUGUCGGGGGAAUCGACCCCCUCGGUGUCGUAGCCAACGCGUUAAGUGUUCCGCCUGGGGAGUACGCACGCAAGUGUGAAACUCAAAGGAAUUGACGG